GUAUGGAAACAAUGUGUAGAUAGAACAAGCAUAUUGUAGUGUACUUCGAUCAGAAAACAUACAUACACAUUCCCCAAGGAAGAAUUUGCAAUUUUAAUUGCAUCAUCUUGAUGGACAAGCGCACCGGCCUUGCUAAUGCACCAACACUGCUCUCGCUGCUGCUUCUGAUGUACUUUUCUAUCCAUGUACAUUGCCGAAUCAUGGAUUACCAAGUCAACAAGAAGAUUCAUUUACCACAUGGACUGUGCGUGCAUAAGAAUGGUCUAGACUGCUGUUUACUAAACGACUUCUGCUAUAUUUCAGUGGACGAAUGUAUGGAUGCGUGCAAAAGAACAUAUUCUUCUCCAGGCGCAUCGGCGACGCCGGGCCAUCCUCCUUUGCCGUCCCAUACACCCUGAUCAAUUUUAUCGUGUUCCAAGUGAUCAUGCUAAUGCGCCAGCUGAUGCGCAAUUUCGAAAUAAAGAACAAUGCUGUGAUUUUUUUUCUAUUGAUGAAGUUCAACCGCUCA